rnacentral:lncRNA from 1 species
AUCCUGCACACGUGGACGGCCUGGAUUCGUUCUCUUUUUAAACGCAAUCGAGUUGUUGAGAUCAAAUCACGAUGAAUGAUCCAGAUUUAUUUCUUCAUUAAACGCAAUCGGAUGGUCGAGAUCAAACAUGAUGAACGGUCCAAAUUCGUUUUCUCCUUAAGCGCGAUCGAACGGUCGAGAUCAAAUGCGAUGAACGAUCUGCAUUAACGCGAGAUGGGUAUAAAUAUUUCACAUCACACUGAACCUAAACACUAACCGCCAGCCUCCCGCCGGAGAAGAACCAAUCGCUAGAGAAGGAAGUCGGCUGCUGACCGUCACCGCAUUAGAGCCACCUUUGACCGCCAG